CCAUACUUCAUCAAACCAAUGGUCCAUCUAGCCCAGUAUCCUGACUUCCAAUAGUGGCCAGUGCCAGAUACUUCAGAGGAAAUCAACUGAACAGGCCAGUUAUCGAGUGAUCCAUCCUGUUGUCCAAUCCCAGCAUCUAGCAGCUGGAGACCAUCCCAAUCAUGGGGUUGCAGCCCUGACAACCUUGGCUAAUAACCAUGGAUAGACCUAUACUUCAUGAAAGUAUCUAGAUCUUUGUCAAAUCCAGUUAUACUUUUGGCCAUAACAACAUCCCAUGGCAAUGAGUUGUACAGGUUGAUUGUGUGUUGUGUGAAA